UACGGGGGAGCAAGCGUUGUUCGGAUUUACUGGGCGUAAAGGGCGCGUAGGCGGCCACCGCAAGUCGACUGUGAAAUCUCCGGGCUUAACUCGGAAAGGUCAGCCGAUACUGCGGGGCUAAAGUGCAGAAGGGGCAACUGGAAUUCUCGGUGUAGCGGUGAAAUGCGUAGAUAUCGAGAGGAACACCUGCGGCGAAGGCGGGUUGCUGGGCUGACACUGACGCUGAUUGUGCGAAAGCUAGGGGAGCGAACGGG
rnacentral:rRNA from 1 species